UGUCUAACUUUUUCCAGAAAGCUAAAGCUGCAGAGGUCAAAUUUUGUAGUUAACACAAAAAACUUUCUUCCACAAAUAAUCACAAGGACACACCAUUGGAAGGGUCUUCAGGCAAAGGCACAGUUCAAUCAGCUUGAAUCCAGAAACAGACCCUGAGAUGAAGAUUCACGUAUAAAGGAUUUACGAGGAAGUGCUCCUGGGAAGAGAAGGUGCAAAAACAUGCAAGGCUAAUUCAUCUGGAACUGCAGAAGUGUGAAAACACUAUCAGGAUAACAACUGCCACUAACUGCUGCUAAGAAGCAAAGAAGCUAUCAUUGGUCAGCAUUGUAGGACUCUUCUAAACAUAUCAUGUUGGGCAAUGCAAGGC